rnacentral:rRNA from 1 species
GACGUAGGGGGCGAGCGUUGUCCGGAAUUACUGGGCGUAAGGGCGCGUAGGCGGCCGUUCAAGUCAGGUGUAAAUACCCCGGGCUCAACCCGGGGAUAGCACUUGAAACUGGGCGGCUAGAGGGCAGGAGAGGGGAGUGGAAUUCCCGGGUGUAGCGGUGAAAUGCGUAGAUAUCGGGAGGAAUACCCAGUGGCGAAGGCGACUCUCUGGACUGACCCUGACGCUGAGGCGCGAAAGCGUGGGGAGCAAACAGGAUUUAGAUACCCCCCGUAGU